GAUGAACGCUAGCGGCAGGCCUAACACAUGCAAGUCGAGGGAGAAGCCCUUUCGGGGGCAGCAACCGGCGCACGGGUGCGUAACGCGUAUGCAACCUACCUUUCACAGGGGGAUAGCCCGAAGAAAUUUGGAUUAAUACCCCAUAAUAUUAUUGGAUGGCAUCAUUUGAUAAUUAAAACUGCGGUGGUGAAAGAUGGGCAUGCGUCCUAUUAGCUAGUUGGAGUGGUAACGGCACCCCAAGGCUACGAUAGGUAGGGGUCCUGAGAGGGAGAUCCCCCACACUGGUACUGAGACAGGGACCAGACUCCUACGGGAGGCAGCAGUGAGGAAUAUUGGUCAAUGGUCGGAAGACUGAACCAGCCAUGCCGCGUGCAGGAAGAAUGCCUUAUGGGUUGUAAACUGCUUUAUAUAUGGGAAGAAUAAGGCGUACGUGUACGUUGAUGACGGUACCAUAUGAAUAAGCAUCGGCUAACUCCGUG
rnacentral:rRNA from 1 species